CAAAUGUACUAUUUAGCACAAAAAAAUGUGAAUUUUUAAAACUGCGCUGUAAGCACAGUAUUUGACAGUUCUAUUUGACUCUCAGAUAUGAAGUGCACCGCUGUUCGCAAAUGUACUAUUUAGCACCAAAAAGUUUGCUUUUUUUUUAAACAAACAAUGUAACAGUAGUAUUUAAGGGUUUUAUUGGACUGCAAGAAAUGCAGUACGCAAAUGUACU